rnacentral:rRNA from 1 species
CAGUAGCCGCGGGAAUACGGAGGGUGCAAGCGUUAAUCGGAAUUACUGGGCGUAAAGCGCACGCAGGCGGUUUGUUAAGUCAGAUGUGAAAUCCCCGAGCUUGACUUGGGAACUGCAUUUGAAACUGGCAAGCUAGAGUCUUGUAGAGGGGGGUAGAAUUCCAGGUGUAGCGGUGAAAUGUGUAGAGAUCUGGAGGAACACCAGUGGCGAAGGCGGGUCUCUGGGCAGUAACUGACGCUGAGGAGCGAAAGCGUGGGGAGCGAACAGGAUUAGAUACCCCGGUAGUCCCUGUCUCUUAUAC